rnacentral:tRNA from 1 species
CCUGAAUGACUCAGAUGGUAAAGAAUCCGCUUGCAGUGUGGGAGAUCAGGGUUCAUUCCCUGAUUCAGGA